rnacentral:lncRNA from 1 species
GUGCUCCUUAGCCGCUUAAUCCAGCUGCGCGGCGUCCUGGCGUCACAGUUCAGAACCUGGUGACGCAAAGCCGUGGGGCGAGGGGGCGGCUAGCCAGGGAGCGAGGCGACCUAGUUGUCCUUUCAGUGUCCGUCCUGCCGCUGGAGUCCAGAGUCAGCAGUUGAUGUGGAUCAAAGGCUGGUGGCUUUUGAGCCGGGGCCCGUGGGGACCCGCAUGAACCCUGGGCAGCGUGCUGGCGGGUUGUGCCUUUGCCCUGCACGUGCUGUGCCCCCAGGCCCUCUGUCUCCUUCGUUGAGUGUGAUUUUUCUCUGAGAGCCUGUCUUCCCCCACGAGGCAAGUGUGCCUAACAAAGGGAGAUGUAUCUGGAACUGAGCAGCGCCAUGAGGGGCUUCUAGAAGUCUCUGGGAGUCUCAGGGUUUGUCCUGGAAGGUGAUUCUGGAAGGAAAUCAUAUCCAUCCUGGGCUCUUUGCUUUCAUCAUUGUUAUUGUCAUCGCCAUCGUCAUCACAAUUGUCAUCAUCAUCACCAUCAGCUUUAUCAUCAGCACUCUCGUCAUCACAGCCAUCACUGAAUAUGGUGCUCACUAUGUCCCAUCACUGCUCUAAGUGAUUUCAGUUGCUCCUUUGUCAUCAUCACAAAUCUCUCAGGUAGUAUCAUUGCCAUCCUCAUUUUAAUGGUGAACAGUUGAGGCACAGAGAGGUUAAGAGACCACCUAAUGUUGCACAGGUAGUGAGCUGCAGAGCCUGCACUCACAUGAGCAGCCUGGCCCCAAGUCCACGCUCUCAGCCGCUCUCUGUGUUGCACAACACGCCCUGAUCUCCCUGGACAGUCUUUGCUCCCCGUCAUUGGGAUUGUGUCCCCACCUUGGCUGUCCUCAGAAUGCCCCUCCCCCAGGCCUGGGUCAGAUGUGCCCAUCCUCCAAGCUCCUUUCUGGUCCACCUCUUCAUGAAGCCCCUCCUAGCAUCUCCUCUCCCUGGCUCCAGAAGCUCAUGGCACUGCUGUUGUCCCCUCCUGACACCGACCCCCUGCAGCACUGGCCUGAGGGUCCAGGAGGCAGUCCUCCAGGCAUGCGGACUCUCCCAGCCUGGUGCCCUCAAUUUCUCCCCAGGAUGUGCAGGGACAGCGUGUUGUGGGCCCAGCAGUGGCCUUCAUGGUGGGCUUUAAGGCUCAGGGUGAGGGAGGAGGGGAGGUGUUCAUCACCUGAAAUUCUUGGCCUCUCGACAUCCUCACAUCACAGCCCAUGGAAACUGCAUGGGUGAGGUGUCAUUGUGAUCUGACAUGCAUCCACCGCUCCCCCCAGCCUGGCUCUCGACGUGAGCGUGUGGUGUGUGGGCAACUGAGGGACACUGGCUUUGAAUGAACAAGAUUGAAGCAGAGAGAUCCUGUCUUCCCCACACAAGGCAAGUGUGCUGACACCUCCUGACAAAGGGAACUGGCUGUGCAUCUAUUCUCCCUGCUGGAGACACCUUUAUCUUUUCUUACAGAGCAUCUAGCCUCUGAACUCACACAGUAUUCCUGCUCUAGCAAGAUCAGGACAUGAAAUCAGGACAGCGAGUUUAAUAGACUCAGGCUGGGCUUCCCCGUUGCCAGCCUCCUGGGGGGCACGUCCCCUCUCUGGGCAGCCUGGGCAGGAGUGGCCUCUGCCGUGGUCCCUUCUGAGAGCCCAGCCUAAGGAUGUGGACCCUGGACCUCCCCUGGCCAAUGUGCAGACGAGAAGAGCCAGCGUGAACUGUGCUCACUUUGUGCCGGCCAUGUUUGUGGGAGCUUUAGUGAUGGAAUCUGCUCACUCAAUCUUCAUCCUAGAUGAGGAAACUGAGGCACAGAGUGGUUCAUUCACUUGUCCGAGGACACACCUUGGGAGCAGCAAUGUUUGAGGCAGAAGCUGCCUCAUUAGCCUGGUCCUGGAGUGGCGAUGAGGUGGAGCAAAUCCACAGCCAAGUCAAAAUGAACAGGAAGCGUGAUGGGAAACAAGCCUGUCUUUCUGUGAACUGCUGAGACCUGGGGGUUCUUUGUUACUGCUGCAUGACUGGCUCAUCCCACCGAUCCACCAGCCCACAAACGGAACGCGUGUCCACCGAGGGUCUGGAUGUGGGUGCCUCUGUGUCGUGUUGUCCCCACAUGUGGAGGGGGGGGGGGCAGUGUCCGCACAGGGACCUAGUGAAUAUCUAUUGACUGACAGGUGCCAGUUAACUGUUCACGUCGCUCCUGUUUGGUCUCUGGGUGCUUCCUUUCUCCUGUGACGUCUCCCUCGCUGCUUGCCCUCCUGGCUGCAGCCUGAAGCGCCCGGUGGGGCUCCAGCAGCUGGUCGGGAGCUGGCGAGGAGGAGCCCCAGCUCGGCCUGCUGAGCCAUGGAGAGGAGUCUCGUUUCCAUCAGUUCUUCUUGGGCCUCUGAGCUUGGAGUGAGAUGAGAUCCGCCCUGGAUCCAGUAGCCUGGGCCCUUGCCUCACACGGACACGGGAAGGAAACAAAUGCCCACGACCAGCUUUUAUGUUUUUUCUCUACUCUUCUGGGAAAAAUAGGGUCCUGGCUUCCAGAACGUUCCCUGAAGCCAGGAAGGGCCAGGGCUCCAGUUUCGCCUUUGUCAGCUCCAGACCCGUUUGCAGUUCCAUCAGAAGGAGGCAUCGCCCCCACAGAACACCCCUCCUCACUCCCACAGGACGCCGUCCCUGUGAAGAAGGACUGUGUUGUUGUCGGAGCUGCUGCCACUCAGCCUGGAACGAGCCUCCCGACUCGGCGUGGCCUGUUUCCAUCUACCUGCUCUACGGGGCCUUCGAUUCUGGAGACCAGUUCAGUAAAUACGUCCGUACCUGUGCUAUAUAUACGUAUAUCGAUAUAUAUGAAUAAAUGCUCAUUGGACUAUCGUUUACGACAGGUUAAGACCAGCAACCACAGAGUGUGCCUGGAUAGGGGCAGGUGGCGGAUGAUAGGAAUGACUGUGACAGCAGGAACACACAUUGCUGGAGCCCUGCCUUUGCCCAGAGCUCACACUGAGAACAACCAUUGCAAAGAGCAGAAUGGGUUUGCCCUGGCCAACGUGGAGGUCGCUCAUUAACACAGACGGAAGGGACCUGACGGCAGACGUGGGGGACGGGAAGGCUGCCUCCUGCUCAGAGCCGGUCCCGCUCCAGUCCAUCUGCCCAUGUCCAGAUCUGGGCAGUGGUGGGGUGAUGCACGAGAGGUACAAAUGGGGGCGUCUUUGGGGAGCUGUUGAUGACAAGGAUGGGUCCUACAGAGAGGAGCCUUUGGGAGGUGGUGGCAGCUGAAUUACUCUGGGUUUGACUCUCUGUCUAUUUAAAAUUGACUAAACCGUGAAUCAUGCCUGCCACAUCCCGUGCAUGUUGGUUUCAGUGGAUUUGCUGCUAAUUUCUGCCUUAGGAAGAGCUGGGCCUCAGGAGAAACUCGAUAAGCAAAAGUGAGCAGGUGCACCUUGAGAGAACCGACUGGAGUCAUCUUCACCAUGUGUUCAGGUGUCUGCUAACUUUAUAAAAACAGUUUGUCCCUUGACAGUCCAUGAGCAGAGGAAGGAUUGAACUCACCAGGAUGGAAGGAGCCAGCUUGGGUGGAAGGAGGAUGAAAUAAGGUACAAACAAGAUGAUACCCCAUAUUGGUAUGUCUGCACCACCUUCUGGGUCUCUAUCCUGUCAAAGCCCAGGGCCUACAGGUCCCAUCCUCUCGUGUCCAGGACGAGAUUCAGUGAUUAUCACCUGGCAUAGAAUGGACGCUCAGGCCUACACAUGAACAGCAGCCCUGGACUCACCUGGGCGUGGCCUCUGACCAAACUCUCCCUGAGGCCACCCCAACACAUUCCUGCCUCCAGUCGCCGCAUCUGGCUGCUGUGGGAGCUUCCUGGUCAUGACAUCAAUGUCCCCAGCCUGAUUUCAAGGGAAAACUAAAUGAAGGAGAAGGCAAGGCUGACAAGAGGCUGGGCCCUGACUGGGGUCUGGGAAGCUGGUCAUGCUGGAGACACGGCCCAUGGGCACUGGCUAUGGGCAGAAUCGAGAUGAUCAUCCCAGACAGGCCGGGCUCCUGGAGCUUGGUGUGGAAUCACGCUACUGUUUGGAGCAGCCCAGGGCAGAAGGGAGCAGGUGGAACUUCCCCUGUGACCUGAAGGAAAUCAAUCGCAGGGCUGGGGGACUUUGGCACCUUACAAAUAUCCUGUUCUUUCAUUUUCCACCUGUUGGUUUCUCCCCAGUUGAUAAGGCUGCCCUGGAUCAAUAAUUCAUUUCCACUGAGGAUUGUGCGAUGAUGACUUUCCAGUUCCACUGUCCCCUCCCUGCUUGGUGACUGUCAUUGUCCUGUGAAGCGGAGCCUUUGGGGGAGGCUCUGAAUGACAGGCCCUGUGGAAGGCAGGGCGAAGGCUUCCUCCUGUCCCUUUCUUCAUCGGUUUUCGAAGUGAUGUGUGGUCCUGGUUGGGUCCUGGUUAUAACAUACCGACACAACGAACAUUUGAAAACCAUUGGAAAAAUCAGAAUAAAACCUGGGUAUUAGAGGGGCUGGCCGGUUAAGUGCACAUGUUCCACUUCGGUGGCCUGGGGUUGGUCAGUUCGAAUCCUGGGUGUGGAGAUGGCACUGCAUGGCAAGCCAUGCUGUGGUAGG